AUGGUUGACCUCGGAUCAGGUAGGGAUACCCGCUGAACUUAAGCAUAUCAAUAAGCGGAGGAAAAGAAACCAACAGGGAUUACCUCAGUAACGGCGAGUGAAGCGGUAAAAGCUCAAAUUUGAAAUCUGGCUCUUUUAGAGUCCGAGUUGUAAUUUGUAGAAGAUGCUUCGGGUGUGGUUCCGGUCUAAGUUCCUUGGAACAGGACGUCAUAGAGGGUGAGAAUCCCGUAUGUGACUGGAUACCUAUGCUCAUGUGAAGCUCUUUCGACGAGUCGAGUUGUUUGGGAAUGCAGCUCAAAAUGGGUGGUAUAUUUCAUCUAAAGCUAAAUAUUGGCCAGAGACCGAUAGCGCACAAGUAGAGUGAUCGAAAGAUGAAAAGCACUUUGGAAAGAGAGUUAAACAGUACGUGAAAUUGUUGAAAGGGAAGCGCUUGCAAUCAGACUUGCACUUGGUGUUCAUCGGGGUUUCUACCCCGUGUACUUCAUCAAGUUCAGGCCAGCAUCAGUUUGGGUGGUUAGAUAAAGGCUUAGAGAAUGUGGCCCUCUUCGGGGGGUGUUAUAGCUCUAGGUGCAAUGUAGCCUACCUGGACUGAGGACCGCGCUUCGGCUAGGAUGCUGGCGUAAUGG
rnacentral:rRNA from 1 species